GAUGAACGCUAGCUACAGGCUUAACACAUGCAAGUCGCGGGGCAUCAUGGAGGUUGCUUGCAAUUUCUGAUGGCGACCGGCGCACGGGUGAGUAACGCGUAUCCAACCUUCCCAUUACUACGGCAUACCCCGUUGAAAGGCGGCCUAAUUCCGUAUGCAGUCCGGAGCAGUCAUCUAAUUUGGACGAAAGGUAUAUUCUAUCGGUAAUGGAUGGGGAUGCGUCCGAUUAGCCAGCCGGCGGGGUAACGGCCCACCGGGGCAUUGAUCGGUAGGGGUUCUGAGAGGAAGGUCCCCCACACUGGAACUGAGACACGGUCCAGACUCCUACGGGAGGCAGCAGUGAGGAAUAUUGGUCAAUGGGCGUAAGCCUGAACCAGCCAAGUAGCGUGCAGGAUGACGGCCCUAUGGGUUGUAAACUGCUUUUAUGCGGGGAUAAAGUUGGGGACGUGUCCCUUUUUG
rnacentral:rRNA from 1 species